rnacentral:rRNA from 1 species
GUUGGGUUAAGUCCCGCAACGAGCGCAACCCUUAAGCUUAGUUGCCAUCAUUAAGUUGGGCACUCUAAGUUGACUGCCGGUGACAAACCGGAGGAAGGUGGGGAUGACGUCAAAUCAUCAUGCCCCUUAUGAUUUGGGCUACACACGUGCUACAAUGGACAAUACAAAGGGCAGCGAAACCGCGAGGUCAAGCAAAUCCCAUAAAGUUGUUCUCAGUUCGGAUUGUAGUCUGCAACUCGACUACAUGAAGCUGGAAUCGCUAGUAAUCGUAGAUCAGCAUGCUACGGUGAAUACGUUCCCGGGUCUUGUACACACCGCCCGUCACACCACGAGAGUUUGUAACACCCGAAGCCGGUGGAGUAACCUUUUAGGAGCUAGCCGUCGAAGGUGGGACAAAUGAUUGGGGUGAAGUCGUAACAAGGUAGCCGUAUCGGAAGGUGCGGCUGGAUCACCUCCUUU